rnacentral:tRNA from 1 species
GGAGGACUGUAGCUCAGUGGCAGAGCAUGCAGAAAGUCCCAGGUUCAAUUCCCGGCAUCUCCA